rnacentral:sRNA from 1 species
UUUUAGCCCUUCCCGAAGUCUCGGGAGGAAAUAGAAAUCCUUUGCUGAAGAAAGAUUGAAAUGUACAGCAGGAAUAGCU